CCUGUUUUAAUCAUAGUGGUUAGUGAUGCUGACUGCUGUGCUGUAGGGCCUGGUUCGAAUCCCGGAAAAAAGG